CCGAGACCCGAACGAACGGACGAUUGCGAACGUGGUACAACACCCCUACUUACCCGCGACUCCGCCUCGUCCCGUCGCUCCUCGCGGCGCGGCGCGGCGAGACGGAGGAAACGAAACCCCGGCGCAGUGGGCGCCAAGGAACACUUUCUGGAAGCGUCGUCGCGGCCCUCUCCCCCUCCCUUUCUAGUACUACUACUGCUACUACUACGACGGGGAGGAAAAGGGAGGCGGAACGCGGGCGUGGAUAUAGAUAUCGUAUUCUGUACGACUCUCGGCAACGGAUAUCUAGGCUCUCGCAUCGAUGAAGAACGUAGCGAGAUGCGAUACUUGGUGUGAAUUGCAGAAUCCCGUGAACCAUCGAGUCUUUGAACGCAAGUUGCGCCCGAGGCCAUCCGGUCGAGGGCACGCCUGCCUGGGCGUCACGCCUCCCGUCGCUCCCCCACAGCCGUGCGGAUGCGGAGAUUGGCCCCCCGUGCCUCGUGCGCGGCGGGUCGAAGUGCGGGCCUUCGUCGGGCCGGGCGCGGGGAAUGGUGGACGAAUACAUCGCUGUUUGUGCCUACUCCCCGUGCCCCUGCCCUCAGCAACGCGACGCGCCGUCGUCGGACCCCUCACCGAGCGAGGGCCCUCUCGGCCUCCGAAUAAGAAGAAAGAAGGAACCUCCUCCCUCGGAACG
rnacentral:misc_RNA from 1 species